rnacentral:lncRNA from 1 species
CUCAUGAGCAGAAUAAAUGGUUGUUAUUUUAAGCUACUAGAUUCUCCUUGAACUCUAAGCCUGGAGGCUUUAGUGAUUCAGGCAGGAGAGGUUAGGUUCCUGACUUCUUUAGCAAGAGAUAGGUUUGAGCAUUAGGCAUUGUUGAGAAGGGAGAUUUUUCUAAAUUUCUUUAGUUGUUUUUUUUUCAUAGCAAAAGCCAGUUUCCCUAGACUUUCUCUUAUUUAGUAAAAAAAGAAAUACUUAUCCCCAUCUAGGCUUAGCCUCAAAGCUGGAAUUGAGAAGGAGAAUAUGACACAGAGAAAGCCUGUCCCUUCUGGUGAGAUGUUUGAGGGGAUAAGAGGAGUCAGACAGAGUGAGAGACUGAGGAAGAAAAAGAAGCCCUUUGGACAUGUAGGUCCUGGAUAUUCUGUCUCAUGAAGAUGAGGAACAGCAUUAGAGGACGCUGUGCAGAUCUGAGGGCAAGGUCUCUUAUGCUCCAGUGAUCCACUAAAAGGAAAGCAUACCUACGUAUUUACUGUCUUUUCUGCCUGGGGCUCAAAAUAAAAAGACACAUGGAGCAGACACGAACACAACCUACAGCCUGGAGCUCAGCCAGCCAACCAGCAGUUGAAAGUGAACC